UACGUAGGGUGCGAGCGUUGUCCGGAAUUAUUGGGCGUAAAGAGCUUGUAGGCGGUUUGUCGCGUCUGCUGUGAAAAUCCGGGGCUCAACCCCGGACUUGCAGUGGGUACGGGCAGACUAGAGUGUGGUAGGGGGAGACUGGAAUUCCUGGUGUAGCGGUGGAAUGCGCAGAUAUCAGGAGGAACACCGAUGGCGAAGGCAGAUCUCUGGGCCGUUACUGACGCUGAGGAGCGAAAGCGUGGGGAGCGAACAGG
rnacentral:rRNA from 1 species